rnacentral:piRNA from 1 species
CAGCAAGCAAGGACCUCUCUCUG